rnacentral:sRNA from 1 species
GAGCCGCGACGACAGACGGCGAGCGAGGCGGAGCUAGCAUGGCCGGGGUCGGGGCCGCUGCGCUGUCCCUUCUCCUGCACCUCGGGGGCCUGGCGCUGGCCGCGGGCGCGGAAGGUGGGGCUGUCCCCAGGGAGCCCCCUGGGCAGCAGACACCUGCCCAUUCCUCAGUCCUUGCUGGGAACUCCCAGGAGCAGUGGCACCCCCUGCGAGAGUGGCUGGGGCAACUGGAGGCUGCAGUGAUGGAGCUCAGAGAACAGAAUAAGGACCUGCAGACGAGGGUGAGGCAGCUGGAGUCCUGUGAGUGCCACCCUGCAUCUCCCCAGUGCUGGGGGCUGGGGCGUGCCUGGCCCGAGGGGGCACACUGGGAGCCUGACGCCUGCACAGCCUGCAUCUGCCAGGAUGGGGCCGCUCGCUGUGGCCCCCAAGCACACCUGCCCCAUUGCAGGGGCUGCAGCCAAAAUGGCCAGACCUACGGCAACGGGGAGACCUUCUCCCCAGAUGCCUGCACCACCUGCCGCUGUCUGGAAGGUACCAUCACUUGCAACCAGAAGCCAUGCCCAAGAGGACCCUGCCCUGAGCCAGGAGCAUGCUGCCCGCACUGUGAGCCAGGCUGUGAUUAUGAGGGGCAGCUUUAUGAGGAGGGGGGCACCUUCCUGUCCAGCUCCAACCCUUGUCUGCAGUGCACCUGCCUGAGGAGCCGAGUUCACUGCAUGCCCCUGAAGUGCCCGCCCAGCCCCUGCCCAGAGCCAGUGCUGAGGCCUGGGCACUGCUGCCCAACCUGCCAAGGCUGCACAGAAGGUGGCUCUCACUGGGAACAUGGCCAAGAGUGGACAACACCUGGGGACCCCUGCCGAAUCUGCCGGUGCCUGGAGGGUCACAUCCAGUGCCGCCAGCGAGAAUGUGCCAGCCUGUGUCCAUACCCAGCCCGGCCCCUCCCAGGCACCUGCUGCCCUGUGUGCGAUGGCUGUUUCCUAAACGGGCGGGAGCACCGCAGCGGGGAGCCUGUGGGCUCAGGGGACCCCUGCUCGCACUGCCGCUGUGCUGUGAGUGUGGCUGCCUGGCGGGGAGGGCCUGGCUCCGGGGCCUGCCUCUGGCGUGCUGACCAGGCCCUGUUGGCAGAAUGGGAGUGUCCAGUGUGAGCCUCUGCCCUGCCCGCCAGUGCCCUGCAGACACCCAGGCAGGAUCCCUGGGCAGUGCUGCCCUGUCUGCGAUGGCUGUGAGUACCAGGGACACCAGUAUCAGAGCCAGGAGACCUUCAGACUCCAAGAGCGGGGCCUGUGUGUCCGCUGCUCCUGCCAGGUAGGCGGUCCCUCCGCUCACACCCAGAUCUGCCUCAUUCCUUCAGGGUGUCUCACCUGCUUCCCUCCUAGGCUGGCGAGGUCUCCUGUGAGGAGCAGGAGUGCCCAGUCACCCCCUGUGCCCUGCCUGCCUCUGGCCUCCAGCUCUGCCCAGCCUGUGAGCUGGAUGGAGAGGAGUUUGCUGAGGGAGUCCAGUGGGAGCCUGAUGGUCGGCCCUGCACCGCCUGCAUCUGUCAAGAUGGGGUACCCGAGUGCGGGGCUGUGCUCUGCCCCCCAGCCCCCUGCCAGCACCCCACCCAGCCCCCUGGUGAGUGCCUGGGCUGAUCCUGGCUUUCUUCCCCUGCAUUACCCAGCUCACCCUGACCAGCCUGCCCCACCCAGGUGCCUGCUGCCCCAGCUGUGACAGCUGCACUUACCACAGCCAAGUGUAUGCCAAUGGGCAGAACUUCACGGAUGCAGACAGCCCUUGCCAUGCCUGCCACUGUCAGGUAGCUGCCCAGCCUUGCUGCUGCCCUGCUGAGCCCCUCCUGGGCAUGCCCCGAUUGCUCUCUCCCCUGCUCUCUCGCAGGAUGGAACUGUGACAUGCUCCUUGGUUGACUGCCCUCCCACGACCUGUGCCAGGCCCCAGAGUGGACCAGGCCAGUGUUGCCCCAGGUGCCCAGACUGCAUCCUGGAUGAAGAGGUGUUUGUGGACGGCGAGAGCUUCUCCCACCCCCGAGACCCCUGCCAGGAGUGCCGAUGCCAGGAAGGUCAUGCCCACUGCCAGCCUCGCGCCUGCCCCAGGGCCCCCUGUGCCCAUCCGCUGCCUGGGACCUGCUGCCCGAACGACUGCAGCGGCUGUGCCUUUGGCGGGAAAGAGUACCCCAGCGGAGCGGACUUCCCCCACCCCUCUGACCCCUGCCGUCUGUGUCGCUGUCUGAGCGGCAACGUGCAGUGCCUGGCCCGCCGCUGCGCGCCGCUGCCCUGUCCAGAGCCUGUCCUGCUGCCGGGAGAGUGCUGCCCGCAGUGCCCAGCCGCCCCAGCCUCCGCCGGCUGCCCACGGCCCGGCGCGGCCCCCGCCCGCCACCAGGAGUACUUCUCCCCGCCCGGCGAUCCCUGCCGCCGCUGCCUCUGCCUCGACGGCUCCGUGUCCUGCCAGCGGCUGCCCUGCCCGCCCGCGCCCUGCGCGCACCCGCGCCAGGGGCCUUGCUGCCCCUCCUGCGACGGCUGCCUGUACCAGGGGAAGGAGUUUGCCAGUGGGGAGCGCUUCCCAUCGCCCACUGCUGCCUGCCACCUCUGCCUUUGCUGGGAGGGCAGCGUGAGCUGCGAGCCCAGGGCAUGUGCCCCUGCACUGUGCCCCUUCCCUGCCAGGGGCGACUGCUGCCCUGACUGUGAUGGUGAGGGUCAUGGGAUAGGGAGCUGCUGGGGUGGGAUGCGGGGGACCAGAGGGCUGGGUCAGAAUAAUCUUUACUGCCCUAGGGUGGAUCUAAAAUAUUUAUUACAGUAAGAAAAAGCCCCGAGGCUGGGAGCCCUAGCUGAAGCCUGUGACCCCAACAAUUUGGGAGGCUGAGGCAGGAGGAUCGCUUGAGCCCAGGAGUUCAAGACCAGCCUGGGCAACAUAGAGAGAUCUUGUCUCUACACAAAAAAUUUAAAAUCAGCUGGUCCUGGUGCCUCUUGUAGUUCCAUCUACUCCGGAGGCUGAGGUGGGAGGAUUGCCCAGGAUUUUGAGGCUACAGUGAACCGUGUUUUCACCACUGCACUCCAGGCUGGGUGACAGAGUGAGACCUUGUCUC